UCAUCUUUUCCCCAUUCUUUAAUUUCAAAAUCUCUCCCUCCAUUUUUCAAAAUCUUCUUGGUGUGAAAUACUUUUGUUCGAAACUUUGACCACUUUUGCAAAAAGAUAGAAACUUUGGCCUUAUGCCAUUGCAUUUUUAAACUUCUUUUCUUAAAUCAAACUUGUAAAUAGACUUAACUAUACUUGACUUAAACUUUCAAAAAGUCAAAAAGAACUAACUCAUUCAAACCUUUUUUAGGCCUUUGU
rnacentral:lncRNA from 1 species